rnacentral:rRNA from 1 species
AUUGAACGCUGGCGGCAGGCCUAACACAUGCAAGUCGAACGAGCGGCGGACGGGUGAGUAAUGUCUGGGAAACUGCCUGAUGGAGGGGGAUAACUACUGGAAACCGUAGCUAAUACCGCAUACCAUCAGAUGUUCUCAGAUGGGAUUAGCUAGUGGGUGGGGUAACGGCUUACAUAGGCGACGAAGCCUAGCUGGUCUGAGAGGAUGACCAGCCACACUGGAACUGAGACACGGUCCAGACUCCUACGGGAGGCAGCAGUGGGGAAUAUUGCACAAUGGGCGAAAGCCUGAUAGAGCAACGCCGCGUGUAUGAAGAAGGCCUUCGGGUUGUAAAGUACUUUCGGCAGGGAGGCGUUACCCACAGAGAAAGCACCGGCUAACUCCGUGCCAGCAGCCGCGGUAAUAC